UGUCUAAGUACAUACCUUUGCACGGUGAAACCGCGAAUGGCUCAUUAAAUCAGUUAUGGUUCCUUAGAUCGUUCAUACUACAUGGAUAACUGUGGUAAUUCUAGAGCUAAUACAUGCAAAAAGCUCCGACCGUAUGGGAAGAGCGCUUUUAUUAGACCAAAACCAAUGGGGUCGCAAGAUCCCUUUGUAUGGUGACUCUGGAUAACUUUGUGCUGAUCGCAUGGCCUCGAGCCGGCGACGUAUCUUUCAAGUGUCUGCCCUAUCAACUUUCGAUGGUAAGCGAUUUGCCUACCAUGGUUGUAACGGGUAACGGGGAAUCAGGGUUCGAUUCCGGAGAGGGAGCAUGAGAAAUGGCUACCACAUCUACGGAAGGCAGCAGGCGCGCAAAUUACCCACUCCUAGAACGGGGAGGUAGUGACGAAAAAUAACAAUACCGGACUCAAUGAGGCUCGGUAAUUGAAAUGAGUACAGUUUAAAACCCUUAACGAGGAUCUAUUGGAGGGCAAGUCUGGU
rnacentral:rRNA from 1 species